rnacentral:rRNA from 1 species
AAGGGAGCUUGCUCCCGGAUGUUAGCGGCGGACGGGUGAGUAACACGUGGGUAACCUGCCUGUAAGACUGGGAUAACUCCGGGAAACCGGAGCUAAUACCGGAUAGUUCCUUGAACCGCAUGGUUCAAGGAUGAAAGACGGUUUCGGCUGUCACUUACAGAUGGACCCGCGGCGCAUUAGCUAGUUGGUGGGGUAAUGGCUCACCAAGGCGACGAUGCGUACCCGACCUGAGAGGGUGAUCGGCCACACUGGGACUGAGACACGGCCCAGACUCCUACGGGAGGCAGCAGUAGGGAAUCUUCCGCAAUGGACGAAAGUCUGACGGAGCAACGCCGCGUGAGUGAUGAAGGUUUUCGGAUCGUAAAGCUCUGUUGUUAGGGAAAAACAAGUGCGAGAGUAACUGCUCGCACCUUGACGGUACCUAACCAGAAAGCCACGGCUAACUACGUGCCAGCAGCCGCGGUAAUACGUAGGUGGCAAGCGUUGUCCGGAAUUAUUGGGCGUAAAGGGCUCGCAGGCGGUUUCUUAAGUCUGAUGUGAAAGCCCCCGGCUCAACCGGGGAGGGUCAUUGGAAACUGGGAAACUUGAGUGCAGAAGAGGAGAGUGGAAUUCCACGUGUAGCGGUGAAAUGCGUAGAGAUGUGGAGGAACACCAGUGGCGAAGGCGACUCUCUGGUCUGUAACUGACGCUGAGGAGCGAAAGCGUGGGGAGCG